rnacentral:rRNA from 1 species
AGUCUAACACGUGACGCGAGUCUCAGGGUCGUCACGAAACCCGUUGGACGCAAUGAAAGUGAAAAACGUUUCGGCGUUUUAGGUGAGAUCCCGAAGUCGGUGACGACUACGGGCGCACCACCGGCCCGUUUCAGCUGCCACGUCAGCGAGGCGGAGCAAGAGUGUACGCGUUGGGACCCGAAAGAUGGUGAACUAUGCCUGANCAGGGCGAAGCCAGAGCAAA